AUUGAACGCUGGCGGCAUGCCUUACACAUGCAAGUCGAACGGUAACAGGUUAAGCUGACGAGUGGCGAACGGGUGAGUAAUGUAUCGGAACGUGCCCAGUCGUGGGGGAUAACUGCUCGAAAGAGCAGCUAAUACCGCAUACGACCUGAGGGUGAAAGCGGGGGAUCGCAAGACCUCGCGCGAUUGGAGCGGCCGGUAUCAGACUAGGUAGUUGGUGAGGUAAAGGCUCACCAAGCCGACGAUCUGUAGCUGGUCUGAGAGGACGACCAGCCACACUGGGACUGAGACACGGCCCAGACUCCUACGGGAGGCAGCAGUGGGGAAUUUUAGACAAUGGGCGCAAGCCUGAUCCAGCCAUGCCGCGUGCGGGAAGAAGGCCUUCGGGUUGUAAACCGCUUUUGUCAGGGAAGAAAAGGUUCUGGCUAAUACCUGGGACUCAUGACGGUACCUGAAGAAUAAGCACCGGCUAACUACGUG
rnacentral:rRNA from 1 species